rnacentral:lncRNA from 1 species
UUUCAAAGAGUACAUCUUGGUUGCUUUGCUUGGUAUAAGAAUUGGGUUCAGAGCACCUUCGGGUAUAAGAAUUUGUUUUCUAAUUCUUGCUGGUCAGUCACAAAGCAUUAAUUUCUGUUUGCUUUACAAUUUUUCAGGAGUACUGGGAAAUGAUGAGCUUUUUUCCUUGGUUGCCUUUCUAUUACUGUGAUUCGGUUUGUGAUGCUCUGCUGCUCAUCUAGGUUGAUGGUGGAGCUGUGAUCCAAAGUUGGAGUGUGCCCUUUCGUCGGUGCCGUCAUUCUCUCCUCCACGACCGUCGUUGUCACGAGCCCAAGUAGCUUGGUUGGGUAUCGACGGUGUUGGUGGACCUAAUAGGUCCGUUUCUUUCUCUAAAAUGAAAAGCACACCGAGUUAUCUAUAUUUUGUCUGUAUGUAGUUCUAUACUUUUUUCUGCUAAUUUCUAAGUCCUGAUGGCCAUAAAUAAGAUUGUGUUAAAUAAGAUUGUGUGUUUUGGGUGAUACACCUAUAGAAAUCAAGGACCAGGACUAACUAAAGAUGAAUAAAAACACUGUACAGAGAACAAAAUAGGAAAGAGGUGGCCAUUGAGAUGUCAUGAUAGAUCAGAAUCAUGAUUAGUUAUUUAGUUGUUCCUCCAAUAGCAUCACAUGUAAAUGAAUCUUAAUAUAUUGAAGUUCUGUUUUUACUGGAACAGGGUAUGCCCUGUUCAAAUAAUAAUGAAAAAUGUUGUUAUCUCUUAAAGUAAUAAUAGCAUCUCUUAGUUUUUUUUGUUCUGCUUGAAAUUUCAGCAACAAAGAGAUUACAUUAUAUCCUUUUUGGUGGGCGGGUGAGCUAAUUUGGCAAUUUUCCUCUUUGGUUUAUGCAUAAAUUGGAUGCUUCAAAGGAUUUGAAUGGAGUUUAUUGUAGGUGAGUGUGACAAUCUGCAGGCUGACAUGCAUCAUUAGCUCCUCUUAUCCUGCAACAGGUAUCUUGCUAGGUUCAAUUAUUUCUUGGCUUAGAGCAGCGGCGCAAGUAGAGAGAGAGAGAGAGAGAGAGGCUGUUUCCUGGACUGCAGCUCCCCCCAUCAUCUUGGCUUGCAGGUUGCCACUGUGAUGGAGCCGAACGGGGUCUCGGGCCAGCUUGACUCCUAGCUUCCAGUCCAGUUUGUUGCCAAAUUAGCCCCCUAGCUAUCAAGGUUUCAGUACUUCAGCUCAUGCAUGUCAUCAUUUUGUUAAUGUGUCAAAGUAAAGAGAAAAUUGAUGCAUUGAGUUAUUAAUGAAGUGGUUUGGAUGAGAACUGAAAUCUUUCACUUUUAAGGCUGGAGAUUGUUAUGAACUGUGAGUAUUCAUAGAGAUAUUCAGAUCAAAUGAAGCAAAAGCAAGGCACAUAGUAUCUUUACAAUGACAAUGUGAUUUUUAACCCAUUGUGAUACUGAAAACCUGAUAAAGAAUAUAUUUUAUGACUGAAUGUUUGACGUGGGGCUGGAAGAAUUUUAGUUUUGUUUUGUACAUAAAUCUUCUAUGUAGUCAUGGUACUAAAUGUCCUAAGAUAUACCCGUAUGUUCUGUUUAUCUCCUACAAAUAGUGAAAUGGUCUAUGUGUAAAGUAUUUAUGUUUAGUUAUAUUAUGUUGUCGACGAUGCGUGGUUCUGGAACAUGGAGAUUAACAUUGAAGCUUUUGGUAUCUUGAAUUCUUAUGCUUUGUUAUUAACUUGAUGUGAUCCAGUUUUUUCUAUUUGGCAUUGCCACUGGCCUGCUUUCAGUGUCGUAUAACUAAACUCUUUUGGUUGAACUGGACGCAGAUUAAUUGUCCUGCCUUGCUUUUGGAACAAAUUAAAUGUAUCUUCUUUUUCAUGAGCUUGCAGAUCAAUUAUUCUUUAGAUAUUAAUACACUCAUUAGUUCCGAACAAGUACUAUAAUUUCCGAUGUACCAAAUGAUUUACAGUAUAGUGAGAUCUUACACGUUGGACCAAUUUGAUGUUUCUUCUUUCUCUUAAACCAGAAAAAAUCAUUGUCCUAUUGAAUAUGUAUGCUAAACCAUGUUUCCUACUAACGCAUCAUAUCAUUUGAUCAUUACCUUCUUGACCACAUCGUUGGGACAUGCACAGGUUCAUGUGAAGUGGUGCUUAUGAAGAUCAUCGACAAGGCAGUUGAGUGGAGUCACUUAUUAGUAUGAAGUGGCGCCUAUGAAGUUGAUCGACAAGGCAGUUGAGUGAAGCCACUUAUUAGUAUGCUUAGUAGUUCUGGCUUUGUAGUUGUCUCUCCUUUGUUACGCUUGUGGUAUCGAACUUCCAUGUCGAGUGGCUGCUUUUUUGGUGUCGAUUUUCAUGUCAGGUGGUUAUCUUUUGUGGUCUUAUGAACGCACUGAAACCAAUUCUACCUUAUAAUCUCAAGCCGAUAAUGAGCCCAUGUCUUGCUUCUAUAAUAGUUGAAUGUUUCUUCUUCAUUUUAUUGUUAUUCUGUAUGUAUGCAUAUGCUAAAUUUGGG